GUUGUGCUGUGAAAGAGAGAAAGAUAAGAGAAAAUCGGCUAUUAAAAAGUCUACCUGCUGUCUGGAAACCUUUUUCCAUUUUUGGAGGAGCAGCUUUCCGCAUUUUUUUUUAACUGACUGCGUUCGGGAGUGUUAUAUGUUACAGAACUGGACUUGGCCUAAUGUCACAAGCGAAAAAGCUUCCACAUCUCACCUGCCACCAUUUAAAGGUCUCCUCAGAGAGGAAGCUGUUCUCCCUGGUCAUCAGAGGGUGGAUGGAGAGGUUGAAGUGCUCGGCGAACCACGGGUCGCCUUCCAGCUCGGCGACGCACUGUCGACAGGAA